AAGAAAAUAUUAAAAAUAGACACUUUUUCCUUCAGAUACUUAAUUGAAAUAAAUGAGCCACAAAAUUGGAAAUAGCUACCGUAUUAACUGUUCACUGAACAUUUUGGGUGCUCAAGCAAGAAACUACACAACCUCGGAGAUGUCUUAUUUUUUCUCUAUCUGAAAUGAUUUUUUUCUCAUUUUCUUCUCUCAUUCGCACAUUUCCCUAAGACCAUUUCUCCCUGUUCCCCGCUAGGCAGUAAUUCUCUCUUUUUGAAGGUCUCUGUUUCAUGAAGUCAUGGCAGUCAUAGCACAUUAUUUAAGAAGAAGCUCAGCAUCGUGCAAACAAAAGAACUGCAAGUUCCAGGGCUUCGAGCAACAAUACAGAAUCACAGAGUUCUCAAGGUGAGAGGUACCUAACAUCACCUGUAGUAACGCAGUAGAAUUUGAAUACAGAUAACACCAGAACAUCUGGUUAGAGUUCCUUAGUUCCUUAAGACCAUUAACAAUUAUCUCCCAACCUAAAUUCCUAUAUGCAGUGGCUGGCAACUUUUCAGCAUGUCCUUCUGGUUCCAUCUGAAGGAAACCCCAUCCAGUCCCCUAAACAGGUCAGGGUCCCCCAGCUACCACUGGAGAGUCCUUCUUUCAUUCUAGGAAUAUUUGCUAAGGCUCUAUCAAGUGCUGGCACUGAGAUUUAAUCUCUCCUAUCUUUAUUCUCAUGUCGCUUACAGUAUUUUCCGGGAACUCGUGACUUUUCCAUAUGCAAACCAUUUUAAAAAAUACAAGUGAGAAACACUGCAUCUGAGAUAGAGAGCUGGAUUGCCAGGUACAGGCGGAGUGAAGGUGGCUGCUUUGGGUUCGCCAAUGUCUCCUUUCACUCCUAUUCACUUCGAUAAGUGUUUACUCCGCGCCGCUGGGGCUGGAACGGCUUUGGCCCCGACAGGUGCGGACCCGGCGCGCAGAGGGGCGCGGCUCUUCUCCCCCUUUGGGCCCGUGAGGCCUCUGCGCGCCCGUGCCCGGCGGCGGGACGAUGCGGAGCGAGCCGAGCCGCCCCGGGAGGCCGCAGAGCGCGGGGCUCCCCCGGCAACCUGGCGCCGCGCGGGGGCGGGAGUCAGGUGGCCACGGCGCGCCCGCCUCGCCCGGGCACCGAGCAGGAAGUGGCUGCGGUGCGCCCCGGGCGCGGCCUCCGCAGGGCGCGCCUCCUUUGUGGCGCCGUGCUGUGCGGCCGGGCCGGGAGGAGGCGGGAGCCCGAGUCCCAGCGCGGGGAGCGAGAGCUAAUGGCGGCGCCUGCGCCCGGGGGCCCCGGAGCCGCCGCCUCGGCCGCCCUGGACGAGCUGUCCCGGAACCUCACGUACGGGGCGCUGGGCGCCGGCAAUGGCUCCCUGUCGGGCGCUUGGUACCGCCGGAACCAGGCUCACCCUCCAGCCUACAUUCUCCCUUUCACUUCCAGGAAGGAAAGCUUGACUUUCUCCAACACUGAAAAUACAUCGGCUUUAGUCUGCCUGAACGAGAUUCACCUUUUUGGAGUUUUGCUGGCCAUUUUAGGAAACUUGGUAAUCAGCAUUUCCCUAAAUAUUCAGAAAUAUUCGCAUCUUCAGUUGGCGCACCAAGAACACCCAAGGCCGUACUUCAAGAGCGUGCUGUGGUGGGGCAGCAUCGUACUGAUGGCUGUGGGAGAGACAGGAAACUUUGCAGCCUAUGGAUUUGCCCCCAUUACUCUCAUUGCUCCAUUAGGCUGUAUGUCUGUUACAGGUAGUGCCAUUAUUUCUGUUAUGUUUCUGAAAGAAAAUUUGAGAGCCUCAGAUUUACUAGGUAUGACACUGGCAUUUGCAGGAACAUAUUUAUUGGUGAACUUUGCUCCAAAUAUAACUCAGGAUAUCUCCGCAAGAACAGUACAGUAUUACUUUGUUGGCUGGCAGUUCAUGACCUACGGGAUUUUAGAGAUACUAAUUUUCUGCAUUCUCCUAUAUUUCCAUAAAAGAAAAGGAAUAAAACACAUUGCGAUUCUGCUAACCCUGGUGGCACUUCUAGCCUCAUUGACUGUCAUUUCAGUAAAAGCCGUCUCAGGAAUGAUCACUUUUUCUGUGACGGAUAAAAUGCAACUAACUUAUCCCAUCUUCUAUAUCAUGUUUAUCAUCAUGAUAGCAUCUUGUGUUUUCCAAGUCAAGCUCCUGAAUCAAGCCACAAAACUCUACAGUACAGCGACGGUGGUGCCCGUUAACCAUACUUUCUUUACAAUCAGUGCCAUUAUUGCAGAAAUUCCUCUUAAAGCGACAACAACAAAAAAAAUCCUAAAAUACUGGGAAAAAAAUAUGUAGAGAAGUUUAUUGACACUUUACAAAAGCAAAACAUUUGAAACAAUUUAAAAUGUCCUUCAAGAAAUGAAUAUUAUGGGGCACCAGCUCAGAAUAACAAGAAAACAUUAAAAUGAUCACAAGGAAAUGUGUAAUAACAUGGAAAAAUGCUUCAGAAGUGUUGAUUCAUUCAACAAAUAUUCAUCAGAAUGGGACAUGGCUUAUUCCUGUAGGAAGUUUAUCCUCUAGGUGAGGAGAUAGACUUGAGACUGAGAAAGCCCCUGUCUUGUUCCCUGUCGUAUCUGCAGCACCUAAGCAGUGGCUGGCACUUAGGACUCUCAAUAAAUACUUGUCAACAGGGUAGCAAGGCUAACACCACACACACACAAAUUUGAUUCCAAGUAAUAUAUAAUUUAAAGAUAACUUAUUUAGUAAAAACUCUACAAAGGCUUUGGGACCAUAGGCCAAGAGGAAAUCAUUGAGACUAACAAGGAGAGAAGAAAAGCUCAUCGGAGUAAAGGACACAUCCACAUUUCCCUUCACCCAGAAGGAAAGACCAGAUGAAGGAGAUGGGAGAGGGGGUUGGCGGUGAGAAAUGGAGCUGGGGUAGCAGAUCAGCAUCCUCCAGUGCCUGAAUGAGCAUGUGCCAGACCCACAAACCGCAGGGCGUUGCCAAGACUGACAGCAUGGGGAGCAGCUGGCCUGAAGUGCGAGCGCCGUGUCAAAGGCCCAGAGUCCACCCAGAUGCGCAGGUACCAUAUUUUAUCAGGAAUUCCUUGGUGCAGCUUUUCUCACUAUAUUUAUAUAUCUUUUUGGGUGUUUUCUGUCAUUCCUUGGUGUGGUUUUGGUCACAAGAAAUCGAGAAAAGGAACAUCUGCC